CCUACGGGAGGCAGCAGUGGGGAAUAUUGCACAAUGGGCGCAAGCCUGAUGCAGCGACGCCGCGUGAGGGAUGACGGCCUUCGGGUUGUAAACCUCUUUCAGCAGGGACGAAGCGCAAGUGACGGUACCUGCAGAAGAAGCACCGGCCAACUACGUGCCAGCAGCCGCGGUAAUACGUAGGGUGCAAGCGUUGUCCGGAAUUACUGGGCGUAAAGAGCUCGUAGGCGGUUUGUCGCGUCGUCUGUGAAAACCAGCAGCUCAACUGUUGGCUUGCAGGCGAUACGGGCAGACUUGAGUAUUUCAGGGGAGACUGGAAUUCCUGGUGUAGCGGUGAAAUGCGCAGAUAUCAGGAGGAACACCGGUGGCGAAGGCGGGUCUCUGGGAAAUAACUGACGCUGAGGAGCGAAAGCGUGGGUAGCGAACAGGAUUAGAUACCCUGGUAGUCCACGCCGUAAACGGUGGGCGCUAGGUGUGGGUUUCCUUCCACGGGAUCCGUGCCGUAGCUAACGCAUUAAGCGCCCGCCCUGGGGAGUACGGCCGCAAGGCUAAAACUCAAAGGAAUUAGACGGCGNGAGAGAGCGACGACGACGACGAGGGAGGAGG
rnacentral:rRNA from 1 species